rnacentral:rRNA from 1 species
GAUGAACGCUGGCGGCGUGCCUAAUACAUGCAAGUCGAGCGAACAGACGAGGAGCUUGCUCCUCUGACGUUAGCGGCGGACGGGUGAGUAACACGUGGAUAACCUACCUAUAAGACUGGGAUAACUUCGGGAAACCGGAGCUAAUACCGGAUAAUAUAUUGAACCGCAUGGUUCAAUAGUGAAAGACGGUUUUGCUGUCACUUAUAGAUGGAUCCGCGCCGCAUUAGCUAGUUGGUAAGGUAACGGCUUACCAAGGCAACGAUGCGUAGCCGACCUGAGAGGGUGAUCGGCCACACUGGAACUGAGACACGGUCCAGACUCCUACGGGAGGCAGCAGUAGGGAAUCUUCCGCAAAGGGCGAAAGCCUGACGGAGCAACGCCGCGUGAGUGAUGAAGGUCUUCGGAUCGUAAAACUCUGUUAUUAGGGAAGAACAAAUGUGUAAGUAACUAUGCACGUCUUGACGGUACCUAAUCAAAAAGCCACGGCUAACUACGUG